CUGUGCAGCUGUUCAUUCUGGUUUGGACCUUUACUGCUGUCUGUCAAGCUGAUAAAGAUUUUCCUGUGAACCCCUGUGAACAGAGGAAAAGCUUCACAUGCCGCUACACUUCAACUACAGCAAUGACAGAAAAAUUCACAUUCUUUGUGCAAGCUUCCUGUGGAUGGAAGAAACCCGAAUUCACUGUUGACACAACAGUUUACUUAGGACGUAUGAACCCAGAAAACCCAUCAGGAUCCUCUCCACCAGAGACAGCAGCAGGAUUCAAGGAUACUGUCAUCACUGUGCUUGUGAGUGGUUUCCUCAUCAUCCUCAUCAUCGUCAUCAUCAUGACAAUAAUUUACAAAACAAAACCAAACUUCACCAAACUUCCUGGAUCCCAGAACAGGAUGUGUCUGGUUGUCAAACAUGAUGAGGACAGAAGCGUUCAUCCAGAAGAUGUGAUAUAAUAGCACUGACUCAGCAGUAUGAAACUAAUGACUUAUGCAGAGGCGGACAGUAACUAAGUACAUUUACUUGAGUAUUGUACUUAAGUACACUUUUUGAGUAUCUGUACUUUACUUGAGUAUUAUUUUUUCUGGGAACUUAUGACUUUAACUUCACUACAUUUGAAAGACUAAUAUUGUACUUUCACUCCACUACAUUUCUAUGAAGGUCCUCGAAGUAGAAAGUCGUUACUAUGUAGCAG
rnacentral:lncRNA from 1 species